UACGUAUGGUGCAAGCGUUAUCCGGAUUUACUGGGUGUAAAGGGUGCGUAGGUGGUACGGCAAGUCAGAUGUGAAAACUUUGGGCUCAACCCAAAGCCUGCAUUUGAAACUGUCGAACUAGAGUACAGGAGAGGAAAGCGGAAUUCCUGGUGUAGCGGUGAAAUGCGUAGAUAUCAGGAGGAACACCGGUGGCGAAGGCGGCUUUCUGGACUGAAACUGACACUGAGGCACGAAAGCGUGGGGAGCAAAC
rnacentral:rRNA from 1 species